rnacentral:pre_miRNA from 1 species
CGGGAGAAGCUGUAACGAUUAUGUUUUAUUACCAUCAUAAGCGUAUAGCUUUUCCCCUU